rnacentral:rRNA from 1 species
UGGCGCACGGGUGCGUAACGCGUGGGAAUCUGCCCUUUGCUACGGAAUAACAGUGAGAAAUUACUGCUAAUACCGUAUGAUGUCGAAAGACCAAAGAUUUAUCGGCAAAGGAUGAGCCCGCGUAGGAUUAGCUUGUUGGUGAGGUAAAAGCUCACCAAGGCGACGAUCCUUAGCUGGUCUGAGAGGAUGAUCAGCCACACUGGGACUGAGACACGGCCCAGACUCCUACGGGAGGCAGCAGUGGGGAAUAUUGGACAAUGGGCGAAAGCCUGAUCCAGCAAUGCCGCGUGAGUGAUGAAGGCCUUAGGGUUGUAAAGCUCUUUUACCCGGGAUGAUAAUGACAGUACCGGGAGAAUAAGCUCCGGCUAACUCCGUGCCAGCAGCCGCGGUAAUACGGAGGGAGCUAGCGUUGUUCGGAAUUACUGGGCGUAAAGAGUACGUAGGCGGUGAUUCAAGUCAGAGGUGAAAGCCUGGAGCUCAACUCCAGAACUGCCUUUGAAAC